GUGGGGAAUCUUGCGCAAUGGGCGAAAGCCUGACGCAGCCAUGCCGCGUGAAUGAUGAAGGUCUUAGGAUUGUAAAAUUCUUUCACCGGGGACGAUAAUGACGGUACCCGGAGAAGAAGCUCCGGCUAACUUCGUGCCAGCAGCCGCGGUAAUACGAAGGGGGCUAGCGUUGCUCGGAAUUACUGGGCGUAAAGGGCGCGUAGGCGGACAGCUUAGUCAGAGGUGAAAGCCCAGGGCUCAACCUUGGAAUUGCCUUUGAUACUGGCUGUCUUGAGUUUGGGAGAGGUGAGUGGAACUCCGAGUGUAGAGGUGAAAUUCGUAGAUAUUCGGAGGAACACCAGUGGCGUAGGCGCCCAACUGGCUAGAUACUGACGCUGAGGCACGAAAGCGUGGGGAGCAAACAGGAUUAGAAACCCGAGUAGUCC
rnacentral:rRNA from 1 species